GCGCGGUUAGCUCAGUUGGUAGAGCGCGUCAUUGACGUUGACGAUGUCGGGGGUUCGAAUCCCUCACCGCGCACAA
rnacentral:tRNA from 1 species